CGGUGGUGACGAGACUAGCACCGAGACGGCCUUGCCGUCCAUGCGGAUUCCUUCUCCCUCGAACAGGCGACCUUCUGGUCGUUGCUGCGGACUCUGCCGGCAGCGGAGGCUCUUCUAACGGGAUAGAGACAUGAGCCACGAGAGAUGCAAAUAGAGAUUCAACAUCUUUGGACCAAUCCAAUGGGGGCACAAAGGUAGUAGCAGGUUAGAGUAUGCUAUAUAUUUGUACUUUUGCAAUGUAUGCAUAAUUCUGAAAUUUGAUGUUCCAUAUGGAUUCUUUUUUAGCAAAAUACGGUGUAUUUGUAUCUUUGAUAUAUUCACCGGCAGCUCUUUUGAGUUUACUUCUGCUUUGUCAAGGCCGUAAAAGAUGUUGAGGCCAAGAAUCUUCACCUAGGAAGAGGGAGUAGAAGAGGAAUAACAGGAGAUGGCUUUGCAACCAGAACAGCUGCUGAUCAGAACACAAGAUGUAGAUUCAGAACCAUUUGAGACAUCACCCUUUACGCCAAAGGAAAUAUUGAUGAUGAUGUGAUCACAUGAAGCCAGCAUGGUCUAGCAGAUAUAUCUUGCUCAGCGCCUUAGUUAUUCUUUUUUACAAGGUAAUGCUUUGUUUAGCAAACCAAGACAUUACAUAUUGCAGCCUCCCAAAAGGAAUGCUGAGAUUACACAA